rnacentral:rRNA from 1 species
UUUUAUGAGAGUUUGAUCCUGGCUCAGGACGAACGCUGGCGGCGUGCCUAAUACAUGCAAGUCGAGCGGACCUUUGGGAGCUUGCUCCCAAAGGUUAGC